UACGUAGGGUGCGAGCGUUCAUCGGAAUUACUGGGCGUAAAGCGUGCGCAAGCGGUUUUGUAAGCCAGAUGUGAAAUCCCCGGGCUUAACCUGGGAAUGGCAUUUGGGACUGCAAGGCUGGAGUGUGGCAGAGGAGACUGGAAUUCCUGGUGUAGCAGUGAAAUGCGUAGAUAUCAGGAGGAAUACCGAUGGCGAAGGCAGGUCUCUGGGCUGACACUGACGCUCAUGCACGAAAGCGUGGGGAGCAAACAGG
rnacentral:rRNA from 1 species